UGGGCUGUAGCUCAGAGGUGGAGCAAUUGCUUAGCAUGCACAAGGCCCUGGGUUGUAUCCCCAGCACCACAA
rnacentral:tRNA from 1 species